UACGGAGGAUGCGAGCGUUAUCCGGAUUUAUUGGGUUUAAAGGGUGCGUAGGCGGGCAUUUAAGCCGGCGGUCAAAUGUCGGGGCUCAACCCCGGCCUGCCGUCGGAACUGGGGGCCUUGAGUGCGGCGGAGGCAUGCGGAAUGCGCGGUGUAGCGGUGAAAUGCAUAGAUAUCGCGCAGAACCCCGAUUGCGAAGGCAGCGUGCCGUGCCGCCACUGACGCUGAGGCACGAAAGCGCGGGGAUCGAACAGG
rnacentral:rRNA from 1 species